GACGAACGCUGGCGGCGUGCUUAACACAUGCAAGUCGAACGGAAAGGACUCUUACGCUUGGUACUCUUGUGUCGAACUGGCGCGUAACUCCUGAGUAACUUGCCCUUCUCCUUGUGUUAACUUCAUGACACUGCGGCUAAUACCUUAAUGCCGCAUCUCCUCCUUGGUGGGGGUCGGUCAGUUUUGGCGGUUGUGGCUGGACUUGCGGCUUAUCCGUUUGUUUGUGGGGUUGUGGCUUACCAAGGCUUUGACGGGUAGCCGGCCUGAGAGGGGGACCGGAGACAUUGGGAAUGAGAUACGGCGCAGAAUCCUAAAGGAGGAAGCAGUGGGGAAUAGUGCACAAUGGGUGGAAGGCUGAUGCAGCAAAGACGUGUGUAGGAUGACGGCAUUCGGGUUGUAAGCCGCCUUAGGUCAGGACGAAGAUUGGUGUGACGGUAGUGGGUAAAGAAGCACCGGCUAACUACGUG
rnacentral:rRNA from 1 species